rnacentral:lncRNA from 1 species
UUACGGCUCCCGGCAGCCUCAGCAGAGCGCUCGGCGGCUGCAGCUGGCUAGGAGGCUGGACUAAGUGCCCCGCAUGCAGCAGACCCUCUAGAGCCCGGGGCGCGCCUUCCUCGCAGCAACGCACAGCUUCUGCUCACCGCACAGCCAGCACAGUGCUUGAUUGACAGACAGUCCACCCAAUCCUGGCGUGGCACCGAUAGCUGUCACGUCGAAGACUGAGCCUAUCAGAUUGGGCAGGUAGCGUGUUUCCUGCCGGCGCGGGGCUGCCCUCUCGCCGCGCACGCUCCACCCCUCUCCCGAGAGCUACACGGCGGCAGAGCGCAGGCCUCGAUCCGUAACGGCCCUCCCGGCGUCCGGGUGCCCUCCUCAGUAGACUGGAGCCGCCUGGGCUCGCAUAGGGAAGAAAGCUGUUGUGUGAUUGCUACCAAAAGGAAGGAGUAAACUUGAAUGAAAGAACAGAGAGAGACAAAGGUGAUUCUGUGCUGGGAAUCAACCAGAAGUAUAACCAUAAGGCCUGCACCUAUGUGUCUGCAACCUAUGUCUUUUCUGAGCCUGCACCUUUUUCUGGGCAUUGAAGUUGCUUUCGAAGCUCCUGUUCUUUCAUCUCUGGCUUCCAAGGGAAAAAGAGAACACUGA